rnacentral:ncRNA from 2 species
UAUACUAACUGGGGGAGCUCAUUGUAUGGGCUGAGAAAGGGCUGUAAGCACCUGACCCAUGAACCUGAACGGGGUAAUGCCCGCGUAGGAAAGGUAUAAAUGACAAUC